rnacentral:tRNA from 1 species
GCCGAGGUGGCGGAAUGGUAGACGCGCGGGUCUCAAAAACCCGUGGGGGCAACUCCAUGAGGGUUCGACUCCCUCCCUCGGCA